UGAGUGAUUGAAGCCAAAGAAACCAAAAGUGGGACGACACAGCGGGGGUUUACAGAGCUCGCGCCGCGCUGACAUCUGCGCGGUUCAAUGGUCCGAGCCGCGCGGGUUACCAUUGACUCAUUGGGAAUCUGUGUGACUCACAUUGCGUGUGACUCGGGGAUUAUGUGGGAGUAAAUGGUAAAGGUCAGCACUAUAAAAAAAGUACUGUGAACUAGAUAACAUAUGUGGGAUGAGUCAUGAGUGGGUAGAUAGAUAGAUGACACAUUUCUCUCUCUCAGAUCUCUCAUUCUGUGUAUCGUGUGACAGAAGAUGUUCAUGGUUUGACUUUCUACUCUGUGUUUUUGUGCUCGAGUCGUGUCAAUAUAUAUAUAAUAGAUCAGGAUUCUUCUACACAACAGAUGAUGUGAAUGUUUCUGCACUUCACUCAUUUAUUCAAGAUGUUUAUUUUAACGAGAGAAAGUGAGAAAAUGGCCAAAGAUCAACGAGUCAAUGAAGAAUCAAACAGUUCCAUGUUUGUUCGGCGAAACAGCACACAUAGUGGCCGACCAAACAUGUCUGCUGAUCUCAGACCUGUACAAACACAAUCUUAUGUAUCACAGACUGUUAAACAUGAGAAAAGCACAUCAAGACCUCUUCUGGAAGACUGUCUGAGACACGUUCAACUCAACUUUCAGCAUUUACGAUUGAAAAUGAAGCAAAACUUCACAAAUGAUCAUUUCUGGACUAAAAAGAAUAGUUUGAGAACAAAGACUUUAAAUGUUGUUUUAAAAUAUACUUUGUGCUUUUAUUGUUGAUUCUGUACAUUGAAAUGACUGUAUAUAUGCCCAAAAAUAAAACCAACUAUCUGAAAUAUACAAUUGUUACGAUCCCUGGUUGUCUGCCUGUGUCUUCCGUGUCACUGUCACUAAUUUCCCGGUCUUUAUCACUGUCAUUGUUCGCACCUGUUUGUCAUUUGUAUCCUCAUGUGUCUGUGCAUUUAAACCCUGCUGUUCCUCCAUUACCCUGUCG